ensembl:lncRNA
GAGCAGGCCUCGUGAGCGUUACACUGGCGGUUGCCUUCUGUCUCUGAGGGGAUAACAUGUUAGGUCCAUGCAUGGAAGGUGGCUGAUGUACAUGUAAGGAAAUCAAAAUGCCUUCUCUGUUAAGAAGAAAGUAGUAGGAAGGAAUAAUGAUCGAUUCCUUGUCUUUUCUGCUAAAUGGAAAUUAAGGAAUCCGUCUGUGCCAAAGGAUUCUGAUUGCAGAGAGAUAAAAAGACUCAAAAGCCUUGGAUUUUUCCCUCUCCUUUUUGCUUUUUAAUUUUUUUCUGACUUGUUCUUUUUAUCUUAGUUGCGUUACAUCCCCUUUAUGCCUCAUCUCAUCAGAUAAAUUGCUGUCUAGAAGAGUCGUCUGAAUGACAGCCAGCAUCAUUAGAGAGUGGGAAAGGUGAGGCUGCCUGGACAAUUUGCAGGCAUAAGAAGAGUCGCAUCAUCCACCACUCAUGCUGCCUUGCUGAUGUUGCCCUUUCCAUACUGCAUCCAACACUGGGUACACCAUCUUAGAGAGCCCUGUGUCCCAAGGUCACACUAAUGACAGACACAAACCAAGGUGUGCCUGUGCUGUGCUUCUCAGGGAAAGGAAAUUUUGCAGCUUUGCUACUAGAACUUUUCCGUGAUUUAUUGAUGUUCCAUCAAGGAAAAUUAAGGCUGCAUUGCCUAUGGCUAAAACAAAUAUCCAGAUCUCAGAGGAAUUAUUGAGAAUGAUGCAUUCUACCAAAUGAUGUAUUUCCCUCUCAGAAUGCCUUCAGGUAUGGAAACAGUGAUGCUUCUCUUGCAGCUCUUACCAGGAAGAGCCCUCAUCCAUGUCCCAAACCCGAAAAAAGAGGGAAGAGGGCAAAUGGUCUCAGCAGCUGUGCUUGUCAGAGUGCUUCCUAGCUUCAGUCUGAGAGGUGAUCGACAUGUGCAGGAAGGGGAGCCCUGUCUCUUGAAAUGUGUUGCAGUACUGCUUCAUACCUCAGCCUUGACAAAUGGCUAUAGAUUGAGAUGUGUCAUUGGAAAGCCAAGCGUGUGAGGGUCAACUUUCAGCAGGGGGACAACACAGUGCUGUUUGUCUGUCUGCACUUUGAUGUCAAUGUUUUAAAAAUCCCUUAAUUUUGAAAAGCCACAGUUCUGAUUCCUUCUGAUGUUGGACAUUCAUCCAUAUCUAAAUAACUUCAAAGGAGAAGGGAAGUGAUGCCUAAUGUCCCGUACUCCAAAUUUAGGGCAAUUUGACCCUGACUCAUCUUUUUCAUUUUAGCAGCAUUUGCAAAAUGUACUGUGAUGGUAACUCAGGUUCACCAGUUGUUUCCCACCUGUGAAACUGUGAUUUUCCUGAUGUGGAAGCUCCCAGGUAAUAGAAUCCUCUGAUAGGCAAAGCACGCUCUUGGGAAGCCAUUUAAUGCCCACCCUGGAAGGAGGAGAAAUACUGAGAAGAGUAUUCUUACAGCUAAGAAUUAUUAGUCUCAGAACUUUUAACGAUGAGGAAUUUCUAUUCUCUGCAUUUCUCACUGUGUAACUUAAUGUAACUGAGGAAAAAAAUGUGCUUCAGACACUUGAAAUGGUAAAAAAUGCAUGCCAUUUAUUAGUUAUUCUAAUGAAUGAUUUUGCUGUGAGAAUUCUAGAAGGGCAGAAAAGGUCUUCUGGUUUAAAAUUAGGUAUAUUAUCAUACAUGAGUGUUUAUUAGUAGCCAUCAGAUUGCUUAUGAAAAGGAAAUGUUGAAUCUUCAUAGCAGAUCUGCAAGGUUGGCUGAUACUGCCAGUUACUCUGAAAGGAGGGAAGCUGAGGAGGAAGGGGCCAUGCUACUUGCUCACUUACCAAAGCCUAACAAGAAAACCAGCACUUCUGCUUCCAGUUUUAUGUUUUGAGCACAGACAAUCCCACUGCUUUAAAGAAUUACUAUUUCUGAUGGGCUGUACUAGCAUCAAGGCCUUGACCUGACUAAUGAAAUGUCUGGGUGUGCACCCUGCCUGUGCCAUAGCACAGUGUCAGGGUGAUCCCUCCUAACUGCCCACCAGCAGCCUUCCCAGAAGCCCAGGCAGCAUCGGCUGCCAUCAAGCCUCACCACCCAGGGUUGGAGUCCAAGUGCAAAUUCUCUGGAUUGCGCUUGCUGUUCUUUUUAAGGUUUUCUUCUAAAUUUUCUGAAUUUCCUAUUGAAGCGAGUGGAAGGUGCAAAGGAUCAAGCUGUCUGCAUGUCAAGCCAUAGAGCUGGAGCCUCUGCUAAGAAUUAUGGGCUUGGCAUUUGUGUUUUGCUCCAGAUAAAUGUAAUCUGCAACUCAAAUGAUGCUAAUAAGGUCAUAACAUCUCCAGAAGUACUCCUGUGGAGGCAGUUCCACUGAGGUAGUUAUAUUACCCAUGGAGAUUUUGUAUAAUUGUACUAUAAUUAAGAGGACAGCUGCUGAUCCAAUGUGUAUGAAAGAUAGAAAACUUCGUAACAAAAUCAACAUUUAGGCAGGUGAUUUUUCCCAUUCCCUCUAUAGCUGGCAAUAGGCAUGAAACUUUCUAAUUUGCAAAAUCAUCCUAAGUGUUGUUCAUGCCCCUGAUUCUGAAGGACUUACCUUCCUGCCGCAUGAUUGCCCAGUGAUGGCAAGAGCGUUAACGUGUCAGUCCAACAGGACUGAUAGCUUUUCCCUUGAUGCCUGUGGGGAACAACUUUUUUCCAAGGCACCAGGGAGAAGAAAGGAAAUUUGACACUGCUCUGUAUAAUUUUCCUGCUUUCAAAUGGAUGUGAAUUGGUUUAAGUCCUGUUCUUGAUGUCGCUGCUCUUUGGUUUAGGAGAAAUACGAGGUCUGAUUUGUAAAAGACUGGUUGGGAAACCCAAACUCCAAAUUUAUGUUUCAUGAAUAAAUGCACUCUCUGGUGCCUGG